GCAGUCGAACGAGGUUUGGUCAGUUUGCGGUGGUGCUUGCAUCACCAAUUACCAAUCAAACCGAGUGGCGGACGGGUGAGUAACACGUGGGUAACCUGCCCUUCAGCAGGGGAUAACAUUUGGAAACAGAUGCUAAUACCGUAUAACCACGGAGACCGCAUGGUCUCCGGGUAAAAGAUGGCGCAAGCUAUCACUGAAGGAUGGACCCGCGGCGUAUUAGCCAGUUGGUGGGGUAACGGCCUACCAAAGCGAUGAUACGUAGCCGACCUGAGAGGGUAAUCGGCCACAUUGGGACUGAGACACGGCCCAAACUCCUACGGGAGGCAGCAGUAGGGAAUCUUCCACAAUGGACGCAAGUCUGAUGGAGCAACGCCGCGUGAGUGAAGAAGGCUUUCGGGUCGUAAAACUCUGUUAUUGAAGAAGAACGUGCGUGACAGUAACUGGUCAUGCAGUGACGGUAUUCAAUCAGAAAGUCACGGCUAACUACGUGCCAGCAGCCGCGGUAAUACGUAGGUGGCAAGCGUUGUCCGGAUUUAUUGGGCGUAAAGCGAGUGCAGGCGGUCUUUUAAGUCUGAUGUGAAAGCCUUCGGCUUAACCGAAGAAGGGCAUCGGAAACUGGGAGACUUGAGUGCAGAAGAGGAGAGUGGAACUCCAUGUGUAGC
rnacentral:rRNA from 1 species